AUUGAACGCUGGCGGCAGGCCUAACACAUGCAAGUCGAGCGGAGCGGCGGACGGGUGAGUAAUGCCUCGGAAUCUGCAUGGUAGAGGCGGAUAACGUCCGGAAACGGGAGAUCAUACCACAUACUCUCAAAUGAGCCUAGGUCGGAUUAGCUUGUUGGUGUGGUAAAGGCCUACAAAGGCGACGAUCCAUAACUGGUCUGAGAGGAUGAUAAGUCAACCUAGAACUGAGACACGGUCCAGACGCCUCCGGGAGGCAGCAGUGGGGAAUAUUGGACAAUGGGCGAAAGCCUGAUCCAGCCAUGCCGCGUGUGUGAAGAAGGUUUUCGGAUUGUAAAGCACUUUAAUUUGGGAGGCGUUACCAACAGAAUAAGCACCGGCUAACUUCGUGCCAGCAGCCGCGGUAAUAC
rnacentral:rRNA from 1 species